rnacentral:ncRNA from 1 species
UUAAGUUACAGAUAGUAAUAACUAUACUGAGUACAUGAGAGGAAUCGAUUAUAGUAAUUAAGCGUAAUCUAAGUACGCCGACCUCUAUGGGCCACCCGGAAGGGUGGUUUUUUUACUAU